rnacentral:rRNA from 1 species
GACGAGGGAUCCUAGCGUUGUUCGGAAUCAUUGGGCGUAAAGCGGGUGUAGGUGGCUUUGUAAGUCAGAUGUGAAAGCCCAGGGCUUAACCCUGGAAGUGCAUUUGGUACUGCGAAGCUUGAGUGUAGGAGAGGUUACUAGAAUUCUUGGUGUAGUGGUGAAAUACGUAGAUAUCAAGAGGAAUACCGGAGGCGAAGGCGGGUAACUGGCCUAACACUGACACUCAGACCCGAAAGCGUGGGGAUCAAACAGG